UGUUAUUUGGGGAUUUCCCCCACCGCCACCUAAUUUAGAUUGUAGUUCGUUAGAAUGCCCAAAGCUUCUAACAGGUCAACCUACAAGAGCCCCAUGUGAUUAUGUUCCACAGAUUAACGGUCUUCCCCCUUCUCGCCCUUCAACACUAGAUGGUGCUGGCAAUGGUGCAUUUGGCAACAACAAAAAUGCAAGGGCAAUGAGGCCACUAGGGGAUGAUGGUGGAUGGCCCAAAAGAGAAGCUAAUGGGAGUCUAAUUUCUAUUGCCGUUUCAUCCACUGUUAUAGCGUUUAUUAUUUGCACUGCAGCUACAUGGUUGCUAUUACUCAAAUUCAGGGAUUCAGAUGACAUGACUCAAAGAUAUCCACAUAUUGCAAUUCCAAAAUUUUCCGGGUCUUCUGGUAUGUAAUCACCCUUCUAACUCUAUAAAUGCACCAUUGUGUGAUGUCAUAUGCUUUAGCUGUUUGAUUGACAUCAGGACAAUAAUUGCAUAUUUUGAAUCAAGUGAUGCCAACUGGCUAUUGAAAUUCAGUGGACAAAUAUUUUCUGGCAAUAUCAUUUGGGAAUCCCAUAUACCUAACUGUUGGAUAAUUAAUUGUGCCACAUGGAAUGAUACAACCAGGACCUCCCAUGCACCAUAUGUUUCCGGACUAAUGCAAAAAAUAUCUAGAUGAUAAUAUACGACGAGUCAUACUUUCACUGUUUUGUCCUGGUCAUAUAUACGUU